UCCUUGGUGGUCCAGUGGCUAGGACUCUGCACUCCCAAUGCAGGCACCUGGGUUCCAUCUCUGGUCAGGGAA
rnacentral:tRNA from 1 species